rnacentral:lncRNA from 1 species
UAGGGUUUUGGUUGCUUUCUGCUUGUUGUAUUUUAUUGCAUUCAUUGUAUAUAUGUACAUUUAUUGUUUGCAUUGAUUGUGUGCAUUGAUGUUUGCAUUCAUAUUCAUUAUUCAUUACUGGCUGGCUGUCUGUUUUUCUCUGUGUGGGGGGGAGUCAGUUGAGGUAAAAGGUCCAAUACCCAGACCAUGAGUGAAAAUCUAGGAUGAUUAGGAAUAGAGUGAUUCAUGGGAAGCGGGUGGUAUGGCGCCACUUAGCGGAACAUUGAUAUCACGAGCAGUUCAGACCCUGGUAGGAUACUGUCGUUACAUACUUCGGGUGUGUAUAUGAUAGUAUUUCUGCGAAAGGUUAUUUAUGCUGCGUUUCUCUCAGCUUUACCCUGGCCUAGACUACACCCGUGAGUGGGGAAGGGUUAUUCAUUACAGGUACCGUUGGUGACUUUGGUUCUGAUGGUGACUUUAUGUUCAGACAGUGUGAUCAGUUUGACCUUAAGUUGGAUUUAAGUUCCGAGUUUUGACUGAAGCUCCGACCUAGUCAGAGAUCGCACAAUCAGCCAGUCCAGUCUGCAUCAUGUGCAUCAUAGCAUAUUUAUUUUUCAAAAGAAACGCAUUGAAAAA